UCUACUUUUGCAUAGGUUUUGAUUCCAAAUUUGCUUUCUCUGUGUUGGUAGUUUUUGUGUCAUACUGAAGUUCGAAUACAUCUGGGAGUACGGAGGAGGUUCUAUCCUUUCGAAAGAAGCAACUCCCUGUGAUGGUCUCAAAGAGAACUUUGAAGUAAUUUUAACCAGACUCAUUUGUUGAAGAGAACAUAUGGUUAUAUUGAUGUAUUCUUUUGAUUUGAAUAUGUAAGCCUUUGAUGAUGGAUAUCAUUACUAGUUACUACUUGAAAGACCCUGGUAAAGUUGAUCAAGUAGCUACCAGGAAAUUAAUGCAGUACCACAUGUCAUGGAUCUGGACCUUCCGCAAACAAAAGCUUGAUAUAAGUUGAGAAGGGUAGAGGGGUGAACCCAUUAUCCAUUGAGAUUCGAACCUAAAACGCCAUGGUUUCUCUGUUAUUGAAGAAAGAUAAUAUUCACCAAGUGAAGGUCAGGGUAUAACAUUAACUUUCUUGGGCUAUUGCCAAAAGUUCAGUAAUUUUUUUUGUGCUUUUGGGCCCAUUGCGACCCUUUUUUGGGAUAUAGUCAUAAAUUUGAAAGAUGUGCAAAAAUGUGCAAUAUACAAGAAACGUAGCAGAAAAUAGAAAAUCUUGGCAAAAGACGUAAUUUUCUAUGAAUAACACCCCAUCAUUUAUACAUAUAGGGAUCUCGCGGGUGCACCAAAAAGAAAUAAAGGGAAAGGCUAUUCCUCAAGUGUACAAGAUCUUUCGCUAUUCCCAUCAGUAGUUCUCCUACUCGUCUCUCUGCACGUGGUACACAAAGGUGCUAGAGAAGCAACAUCCCACGUCCUGCAUCUUCUUAAGGCCCUGCAAAACAUUGUUUCUUUUGCAGUGCCCGUCUUCACCUGCUCUAGUCCUAACCAUCUUAGAAUUUACCACCACAAACAAGCCUUGAUCCAAUGCAGAAAGUUAAAGAAAACUGCAUUAAUACUCUAUAUUUUUGGUGUAAAGAAGAGGGUAUAGAUGAAGUAGAUCAGUUAGUAGAUUUCAUAGGCUAUUUGUAAUCAUGACUAUUUGGCCUUUGAAUGUUUUUUUGUUUGGUUGCCAGCAUACCCUCAUUGCUGAUGAAUACAACUUUACCAUUCUCAAAAAAAACAAGCCUUGAUCCAGCAAUUUAAAAUGAUGGCCCAUUGUCUACUUUAUGUUGUGUCUCAAAUAGGCUCAUGUUUUAGUAGUUACUGUUCUAUUUUUGUUAGACUCCAGUUUUUACCGUCCUUGAUGUUGUCGAAUCUGUAUCAUUUUGAAGUUUUUGAGAUUUAGUUUUUUUGCAAUUUUAAUUGCUGUAUGGUGCCAACUUGUUUUUCUUAAAUAAUUGUUCAUGCUUCAAAGCAGAGAUAUAUUUGGUGUUAUUAGAGCUGCUAUUCAAUCAUUUUUCGACUAUGCAUUUGAGUUAGCUCUGCCUCCUGAGUCCUGAC
rnacentral:lncRNA from 1 species